GCUGGCGGCGUGCCUAAUACAUGCAAGUCGAACGAAAACCUUCGGGUUUUAGUGGCGAACGGGUGAGUAACACGUAAGUAACCUACUACCCUAAAGACGAGGAUAACGAUUGGAAACAGUUGCUAAGACUGGAUAGGAAAUUUUAAGGCAUCUUUUUUCUUUUAAAAGACCUAGUGAUAGGUAUGCUUAAGGAGGGGCUUGCGCCACAUUAGUUAGUUGGUAGGGUAAUGGCCUACCAAGACGAUGAUGUGUAGCUGGACUGAGAGGUUGAACAGCCACAUUGGGACUGAGACACGGCCCAAACUCCUACGGGAGGCAGCAGUAAGGAAUUUUCGGCAAUGGAGGAAACUCUGACCGAGCAACGCCGGCGUGAACGACGAAGUACUUUGGUAUGUAAAGUUCUUUUAUCAAGGAAGAAAAGCAAAUGGCGAACCAUUUGUUUGCCGGUACUUGAUGAAUAAGCCCCGGCUAAUUAUGUGCCAGCAGCCGCGGUAAGACAUAAGGGGCAAGUGUUAUCCGGAAUUAUUGGGCGUAAAGGGUGCGUAGGCGGUCUAGUAAGUCAGUGGUGUAAUGGCAACGCUCAACGUUGUCCGGCUAUUGAAACUGCUAAACUUGAGUUAGAUAGAGGCGAGUGGAAUUCCAUGUGUAGCGGUAAAAUGCGUAAAUAUAUGGAGGAACACCAGAGGCGUAGGCGGCUUGCUGGGUCUUAACUGACGCUGAGGCACGAAAGCGUGGGGAGCAAACAGGAUUAGAUACCCUGGUAGUCCACGCCGUAAACGAUGAGUACUAAGUGUCGGGUUAAACCGGUACUGAAGUUAACACAUUAAGUACUCCGCCUGAGUAGUACGUACGCAAGUAUGAAACUUAAAGGAAUUGACGGGACUCCGCACAAGCGGUGGAUCAUGUUGUUUAAUUCGAAGAUACCCGAAAAACCUUACCAGGUCUUGACAUGUUUUUGCAAAAUGAUAGUAAUAUCGUGGAGGUUACCAGAAACACAGGUGGUGCAUGGUUGUCGUCAGCUCGUGUCGUGAGAUGUUAGGUUAAGUCCUAAAACGAGCGAAACCCUUAUCGUUAGUUGCCAGCACGUUAUGGUGGGGACUUUAACGAGACUGCCAAUGAUAAAUUGGAGGAAGGUGAGGAUCACGUCAAAUCAGCAUGCCCCUUAUGACCUGGGCUACAAACGUGAUACAAUGGCUGUUACAAAGGGUAGCUGAAGACCGCUGUCUUGGCCAAUCCCCAAAAACAGUCCCAGUUCGGAUUGAAGUCUGCAACUCGACUUCAUGAAGUUGGAAUCGCUAGUAAUCGCGAAUCAGCAUGUCGCGGUGAAUACGUUCUCGGGGUUUGUACACACCGCCC
rnacentral:rRNA from 1 species